UCCAGACUCCUACGGGAGGCAGCAGUGGGGGAUAUUGCACAAUGGGGGAAACCCUGAUGCAGCGACGCCGCGUGGGUGAAGAAGCGCCUCGGCGCGUAAAGCCCUGUCAGCAGGGAAGAAAAUGACGGUACCUGAAGAAGAAGCCCCGGCUAACUACGUGCCAGCAGCCGCGGUAAUACGUAGGGGGCAAGCGUUAUCCGGAUUUACUGGGUGUAAAGGGGGCGCAGACGGCGAUGCAAGCCAGGAGUGAAAGCCCGGGGCUCAACCCCGGGACUGCAUUUGGUACUGCGUGGCUUGAGUGUCGGAGAGGCAGGCGGAAUUCCUAGUGUAGCGGUGAAAUGCGUAGAUAUUAGGAGGAACACCAGUGGCGAAGGCGGCCUGCUGGACGAUGACUGACGUUGAGGCUCGAAAGCGUGGGGAGCAAACAGGAUUAGAUACCCUUGUA
rnacentral:rRNA from 1 species